rnacentral:rRNA from 1 species
UUAAGCGACUAAGCGUACACGGUGGAUGCCCUGGCAGUCAGAGGCGAUGAAGGACGUGCUAAUCUGCGAUAAGCGUCGGUAAGGUGAUAUGAACCGUUAUAACCGGCGAUUUCCGAAUGGGGAAACCCAGUGUGUUUCGACACACUAUCAUUAACUGAAUCCAUAGGUUAAUGAGGCGAACCGGGGGAACUGAAACAUCUAAGUACCCCGAGGAAAAGAAAUCAACCGAGAUUCCCCCAGUAGCGGCGAGCGAACGGGGAGCAGCCCAGAGCCUGAAUCAGUGUGUGUGUUAGUGGAAGCGUCUGGAAAGGCGCGCGAUACAGGGUGACAGCCCCGUACACAAAAAUGCACAUGCUGUGAGCUCGAUGAGUAGGGCGGGACACGUGGUAUCCUGUCUGAAUAUGGGGGGACCAUCCUCCAAGGCUAAAUACUCCUGACUGACCGAUAGUGAACCAGUACCGUGAGGGAAAGGCGAAAAGAACCCCGGCGAGGGGAGUGAAAAAGAACCUGAAACCGUGUACGUACAAGCAGUGGGAGCACNGUGUGACUGCGUACCUUUUGUAUAAUGGGUCAGCGACUUAUAUUCUGUAGCAAGGUUAACCGAAUAGGGGAGCCGAAGGGAAACCGAGUCUUAACUGGGCGUUAAGUUGCAGGGUAUAGACCCGAAACCCGGUGAUCUAGCCAUGGGCAGGUUGAAGGUUGGGUAACACUAACUGGAGGACCGAACCGACUAAUGUUGAAAAAUUAGCGGAUGACUUGUGGCUGGGGGUGAAAGGCCAAUCAAACCGGGAGAUAGCUGGUUCUCCCCGAAAGCUAUUUAGGUAGCGCCUCGUGAAUUCAUCUCCGGGGGUAGAGCACUGUUUCGGCAAGGGGGUCAUCCCGACUUACCAACCCGAUGCAAACUGCGAAUACCGGAGAAUGUUAUCACGGGAGACACACGGCGGGUGCUAACGUCCGUCGUGAAGAGGGAAACAACCCAGACCGCCAGCUAAGGUCCCAAAGUCAUGGUUAAGUGGGAAACGAUGUGGGAAGGCCCAGACAGCCAGGAUGUUGGCUUAGAAGCAGCCAUCAUUUAAAGAAAGCGUAAUAGCUCACUGGUCGAGUCGGCCUGCGCGGAAGAUGUAACGGGGCUAAACCAUGCACCGAAGCUGCGGCAGCGACGCUUAUGCGUUGUUGGGUAGGGGAGCGUUCUGUAAGCCUGUGAAGGUGUGCUGUGAGGCAUGCUGGAGGUAUCAGAAGUGCGAAUGCUGACAUAAGUAACGAUAAAGCGGGUGAAAAGCCCGCUCGCCGGAAGACCAAGGGUUCCUGUCCAACGUUAAUCGGGGCAGGGUGAGUCGACCCCUAAGGCGAGGCCGAAAGGCGUAGUCGAUGGGAAACAGGUUAAUAUUCCUGUACUUGGUGUUACUGCGAAGGGGGGACGGAGAAGGCUAUGUUGGCCGGGCGACGGUUGUCCCGGUUUAAGCGUGUAGGCUGGUUUUCCAGGCAAAUCCGGAAAAUCAAGGCUGAGGCGUGAUGACGAGGCACUACGGUGCUGAAGCAACAAAUGCCCUGCUUCCAGGAAAAGCCUCUAAGCAUCAGGUAACAUCAAAUCGUACCCCAAACCGACACAGGUGGUCAGGUAGAGAAUACCAAGGCGCUUGAGAGAACUCGGGUGAAGGAACUAGGCAAAAUGGUGCCGUAACUUCGGGAGAAGGCACGCUGAUAUGUAGGUGAAGUCCCUCGCGGAUGGAGCUGAAAUCAGUCGAAGAUACCAGCUGGCUGCAACUGUUUAUUAAAAACACAGCACUGUGCAAACACGAAAGUGGACGUAUACGGUGUGACGCCUGCCCGGUGCCGGAAGGUUAAUUGAUGGGGUCAGCGCAAGCGAAGCUCUUGAUCGAAGCCCCGGUAAACGGCGGCCGUAACUAUAACGGUCCUAAGGUAGCGAAAUUCCUUGUCGGGUAAGUUCCGACCUGCACGAAUGGCGUAAUGAUGGCCAGGCUGUCUCCACCCGAGACUCAGUGAAAUUGAACUCGCUGUGAAGAUGCAGUGUACCCGCGGCAAGACGGAAAGACCCCGUGAACCUUUACUAUAGCUUGACACUGAACAUUGAGCCUUGAUGUGUAGGAUAGGUGGGAGGCUUNAUCCGGGUUGCGGACAGUGUCUGGUGGGUAGUUUGACUGGGGCGGUCUCCUCCUAAAGAGUAACGGAGGAGCACGAAGGUUGGCUAAUCCUGGUCGGACAUCAGGAGGUUAGUGCAAUGGCAUAAGCCAGCUUGACUGCGAGCGUGACGGCGCGAGCAGGUGCGAAAGCAGGUCAUAGUGAUCCGGUGGUUCUGAAUGGAAGGGCCAUCGCUCAACGGAUAAAAGGUACUCCGGGGAUAACAGGCUGAUACCGCCCAAGAGUUCAUAUCGACGGCGGUGUUUGGCACCUCGAUGUCGGCUCAUCACAUCCUGGGGCUGAAGUAGGUCCCAAGGGUAUGGCUGUUCGCCAUUUAAAGUGGUACGCGAGCUGGGUUUAGAACGUCGUGAGACAGUUCGGUCCCUAUCUGCCGUGGGCGCUGGAGAACUGAGGGGGGCUGCUCCUAGUACGAGAGGACCGGAGUGGACGCAUCACUGGUGUUCGGGUUGUCAUGCCAAUGGCACUGCCCGGUAGCUAAAUGCGGAAGAGAUAAGUGCUGAAAGCAUCUAAGCACGAAACUUGCCCCGAGAUGAGUUCUCCCUGACUCCUUGAGAGUCCUGAAGGAACGUUGAAGACGACGACGUUGAUAGGCCGGAUGUGUAAGCGCAGCGAUGCGUUGAGCUAACCGGUACUAAUGAACCGUGAGGCUUAACCUU